CCUACGGGAGGCUGCAGUGGGGAAUUGUUCGCAAUGGGCGCAAGCCUGACGACGCAACGCCGCGUGGAGGAUGAAGGUCUUCGGAUUGUAAACUCCUGUUGCCCGGGACGCGGUACCGGGUGAGGAAGCCCCGGCUAACUCUGUGCCAGCAGCCGCGGUAAUACAGAGGGGGCAAGCGUUGUUCGGAAUUACUGGGCGUAAAGGGUGCGUAGGCGGCCUUCUAAGUCGAACGUGAAAUCCCCGGGCUCAACCCGGGAACUGCGUCCGAUACUGGAAGGCUUGAAUCCGGGAGAGGGAUGCGGAAUUCCAGGUGUAGCGGUGAAAUGCGUAGAUAUCUGGAGGAACACCGGUGGCGAAGGCGGCAUCCUGGACCGGAUUGACGCUGAGGCGCGAAAGCCAGGGGAGCAAACGGGAUUAGAUACCCUGGUAGUC
rnacentral:rRNA from 1 species